rnacentral:rRNA from 1 species
CUUGUACACACCGCCCGUCACACCAUGGGAGCGGGUUCUGCCAGAAGUAGUUAGCCUAACCGCAAGGAGGGCGAUUACCACGGCAGGGUUCGAGACUGGGGUG